UUAAUUAGGGAUUAUAUGGCGUUUACUAUUGAAUUUGUCGGAUAUGAUUCAUAUGAUAUCAAAAAAAUUUCGUACUGACAUGUAUUCUGAAACUUGGAGUCGUAAAUUGCGGUUAUCUUAGUGGUUUAUUAAUUAAAAGAAAAGUGGAAUACGUGGAUAAGGUAUAUAUAUGAAUUUCGGUUCUGCAGGAUAUGCUGAGAUGUUGCUGCAAUCUAUAUCGAAGAUCAAUCUACAGGGUGAGGAGGUCGAUUAUAUAGGAUAUGCUGAGAUGUUGCUGCAAUCUAUAUCGAAGAUCAAUCUACAGGGUGAGGAGGUGGAUUAUAUAGGUUGAUAGAUUUUCCAACAGUUCGGGAAAAGAGCUUCGUUUGAUAAUUCAGUAAAUGUCUCACCCUUUGAUCAAUGUAAUGAAUUUUGCUGCUAAGGAAUACUCAUGUUGAGGUAAUCUUCAUCGCAGACAGAAUAUGUUGGCUGAAAAUGGCAUUUUCCCAAGAAUCUCAUCUAUAUUUAAUAUUUGGUCAGGUUCUUAGUUGUUAAUUCGUUACAACUAAGAGGAAAUGUUAAAGAUAUUAUUGCAUAGGGGAAAAAUGUUUCAAAUGUUUCUGUUC